GACGAACGCUGGCGGCGUGCCUAAUACAUGCAAGUCGAGCGGACAGGAGGGAGCUUGCUCCCGGAAGUUAGCGGCGGACGGGCGAGUAACACGUGGGCAACCUACCCUGUAGAUCGGGAUAACACCGAGAAAUCGGUGCUAAUACCGGAUAAUCAUUUGAAGUGCAUGCUUCGAAUGUAAAAGAUGGCUCCGGCUAUCACUACGGGAUGGGCCCGCGGCGCAUUAGCUGGUUGGUAAGGUAAUGGCUUACCAAGGCAACGAUGCGUAGCCGACCUGAGAGGGUGAUCGGCCACACUGGGACUGAGACACGGCCCAGACUCCUACGGGAGGCAGCAGUAGGGAAUCUUCCGCAAUGGACGAAAGUCUGACGGAGCAACGCCGCGUGAGUGAUGAAGGUUUUCGGAUCGUAAAGCUCUGUUGUUAGGGAAGAACAAGUGCCGUUUGAAUAAGGCGGCACCUUGACGGUACCUAACCAGAAAGCCACGGCUAACUACGUGCCAGCCGCCGCGGUAACAC
rnacentral:rRNA from 1 species